UAGAUUCUCGGGCUGGAGAGCAUGCCUCGCCAACUGUCGUUGACCGGGUCUCCUCAAAUCAACCCUUAGCAAGAAUACAGCAGGAAUGGCUUUAUGUUUCUUGCAGGAAAUUGGCCUCGCGGAUGACGUGCUUCCUGGUGACUUCCUGGUCGAGGUGACCAAUAACAUCCUGGUCGAGGUGAUGUGCUGGAGGUCACCACAUAUUUUUCUAGUCGAGAUGAUCUGCUCAACCAUUUGCUCACUUUUACUUUGAGGAGAGCACGAUAAUGUAUGAGAAAACACCUUUAUCUUGGUCACCCUAUUUCAUUCCCUAAACACCAGUCCCCCAGUUUCUAGUGUUGAGAGUGAAACGAAUCAAGACUGGAAACUUUAGUGGUCUGCUCGUCUUCGCUUAGUUGAGCAGAUCCUGGUAUGCUUGGCUUUCUGUCUCGCCAUGAAACAGGCUUUGAGACUUUGGUGAGCCUUUGCAUGCCUUAGGAAUUUUUACAACGUUUGGGAGUCUGCUCGCCUUCGCUUGGUCGAGCAGAUCCUAGCAAGCUUGGCUUCUGGUCUCGCCAUAAAUAGGCUUUGAGACUUGAUGAGCCUUUGCAUGCCUUAGUAAAUUCUUCAAUGCUUGGGAUUCUGCUCGCCUCCUCGUGGUCGAGCAGAUCCUCGCACGCUUGGAUUCUGUCUCGCCAUAAACAUGCUUUGAGACUUGGUGAGCCUUUGCAUGCCUUAGUAAAUUCUUCAAUGCUUGGGAUUCUGCUCGCCUCCUCGUGGUCGAGCAGAUCCUGGCACGCUUGGCUUCUGUCUCGCCAUAAAACAGGCUUUGAGACUUGGUGAGCCUUUGCAUGCCUUAGUAAUUCUUCAAUGCUUGGGAUUCUGCUCGCCUUCUCGUGUUCGAGCAGAUCCUGGCACGCUUGGCUUCGGUCUCGCCAUAAAUUGAGACUUGAUGAGCCUUUGCAUGCCUUAGUAUAUUCUUCAAGGAUUGGGAUUCUGCUCGCCUUCUCGUGGUCGAGCAGAUCCUGGCACGCUUGGCUUCUGUCUCGCCAUAAAACAGGCUUUGAGACUUUGAUGAGCCUUUGCACCUUUGAUUCUUCAGGAUUGGGAUUCUGCUCGCCUUCUCGUGGUCGAGCAGAUCCUGGCACGCUUGGCUUCUGUCUCGCCAUAAACAGGCUUUGAGACUUUGAGCCUUUGCAUGCCUUUGAUUCUUCAAGGAUUGGGAUUCUGCUCGCCUUCUCGUGGUCGAGCAGAUCCUGGCACGCUUGGCUUCUGUCUCGCCAUAAAACAGGCUUUGAGACUUUGAGCCUUUGCAUGCCUUUGAUUCUUCAAGGAUUGAGAUUCUGCUCGCCUUCUCGUGGUCGAGCAGAUCCUGGCACACUUGGCUUCUGUCUCGCCAUAAGACAGGCUUUGAGACUUUGAGCCUUUGCAUGCCUUUGAUUCUUCAAGGAUUGGGAUUCUGCUCGCCUUCUCGUGGUCGAGCAGAUCCUGGCACAUCUGCUCGAAGGUUUUAAUGCUCCCCCGAGGAAGUUUCCUGUACCACUCUCGUGCACGUCCCUCAAGGGAUAGUGGGAACACCCUGCACCUUUGGGAUUGAGAUAAUCCUUAUACUCCAGUUAUGUCGUUGAAACGCUCUAUGUGCACCAGCGGAUCCGUUCGUCCCGAAUACCUAAGGUCUGGGAGGCGGAAAUCUCUCGGAAUAACUGCCCUCAUGAUCUCUGCUGCGAGCGGUGAUUCUCCGUCCAGCAUUAUCCUUCAACCAGGAGCUCUGCUCCUUCCUUGCAUGUCGUCAAUUAUCUGCGCUAGUCUGCGCACUUCCUCCUCCAGCUGCACUGCGCGACCAGGGUCACGUGCUGCAGCUUGAUCCCGCUCUUGCUCUACAUCAAGCAAGUGUUGCCUCAACUCCGUUUCCUUUGCAUUUGCCACCCCGUCGUCCUCGUCAAAAAUCUGUCUUGCCGGGGAUUGCUCUUCCUCUCUACGGAAUUCUCCCUGCAGAGGUAUGUUACCUCUCUCACCACCAAAUCUCCCGGUGGUUUGACUUCUCCUCGUACUAUCGGGACCUGGAGCCACUCCCCCAACUCUCAUCCUUUCCUUCUGGGUUACCCUUCGUUCACUCCGCAACUCAUGCAGGAUGGUUGUCAGGGUCUCCAUCUGCUUUUCCAUCCGUUCCAUCCGGUCGAACAUGGCUUUUUCCCGUGCUUCACUGGCUAUCUCCCUCAGAGUCACGGAAUCGUUAAGCCUCAUAUCACUCCCUUGUGCACUACUUCCUCCUGUCUCCAUUGCUUUUCACUUGCUUCACUCCUCUUCUUGCUAUCAACAGAAGCUUUUUGCUCAGCUCCCCACAGACGGCGCCAAAAUGUUGAUGCGAGAUUCUGGUUCUCCUCGUUCUACUACCAGGCUCUCUGCUCGAUCAACUUCACCACGACCAGGAGGUCUCCUCGUAAGGCUUCUUCUCCAGAGGUUCCUGCGCACACAGACAAGUCAGAGUACGCCGGUUGUUUUCCCGGCGCAAACCCUCCGACGCUCAAGUCAGAUAUGAAGGUUCGGGGAACGCUUGCCACAGAUCUUAUGGCUUUUUCGUAGUUUUCUCUUCUUUAGAAUUUCUUUAGCUCUCUUCUAAUCUCAAAAUUGCUAACCCUUUUACCUUCGUUGGCUACCUUUUUAUAGGCUUCCUCUGAAUCCCAGUUUUCCGCAGCCUACGUCCGUUGUCCUCCCACCUCUCGAACGUGGAUUCCCCAUUUCCGUAGUCAUGGGUGGUUGCGUGGCCUUCGUGCCUAGAUUCUCGGGCUAGAGAGCAUGCCUUGCCAACUGUCGUUGACCGGGUCUCCUCGAAUCAACCCUUAGCAAGAAUACAGCAGGAAUGGCUUUAUGUUUAUUGCAGGAAAUUGGCCUCGCGGAUGACGUGUUUCCUGGUGACUUCCUGGUCGAGGUGACCAAUAACAUCCUGGUUGAGGUGAUGUGCUGGAGGUCACCACAUAUU
rnacentral:lncRNA from 1 species